UUUGUAAUUGGAAUGAUAGAAAUUUAAACACUUUUUAAAGUAUCAAUUGGAGGGCAAGUCUGGUGCCAGCAGCCGCGGUAAUUCCAGCUCCAAUAGCGUAUAUUAAAAUUGUUGCAGUUAAAAAGCUCGUAGUUGAAUUUCUGUUAAAAAUAACCGGUCUGCUUUUAACAAAAGUGGUAUCUUGGUGUGUUUUUAGCAAUAAUGUCCUUUGAAAUGUGUUUUACUUUGUUGUAAAAAACAAUAUUCAGGAUUUUUACUUUGAGAAAAUUAGAGUGUUUCUAGCAAGCUAAUGUUUUGAAUACUGCAGCAUGGAAUAAUAAAAUAGAAUUUUAGUUCUACAUUGUUGGUUUUAAGAGCUGAAUUAAUGAUUGAUAGGGACAGUUGGGGGCAUUUGUAUUUAACUGUCAGAGGUGAAAUUCU
rnacentral:rRNA from 1 species